UCCCUCUUAGCUCAGUUGGUAGAGCGCGUCACUAGUAUGACGCUCACUUCGCGGGUUAUGACGAGGUCAGUCGUUCAAAUCGGCUAGCGGGAA